GAUAAUAGCACAAUCCUAUUCAAGUGUCCAUACUGACAAUAGGGUUUACGACCUCGAUGUUGGAUCAGGACACCCCGAUGGUGCAACCGCUAUCAAAGGUUCGUUUGUUCAACGAUUAAAGUCCUACAUGAUCUGAGUUCAGACUGGAGCAAUCCAGGUU
rnacentral:ncRNA from 1 species